GACGAACGCUGGCGGCGUGCUUAACACAUGCAAGUCGAACGGAAAGGCCCUGCUUUUGUGGGGUGCUCGAGUGGCGAACGGGUGAGUAACACGUGUGUAACCUGCCCUUGACUUUGGGAUAACUUCAGGAAACUGGGGCUAAUACCGGAUAGGAGCUCCUGCUGCAUGGUGGGGGUUGGAAAGUUUCGGCGGUUGGGUAUGGACUCGCGGCUUAUCAGCUUGUUGGUGGGGUAGUGGCUUACCAAGGCUUUGACGGGUAGCCGGCCUGAGAGGGUGACCGGCCACAUUGGGCUUGGGAUACGGCCCAGACUCAUACGGGAGGAAGGGGUGGGGAAUAUUGCACGAUGGGCGGAGGCCUGGUGGAGCAACGCCGCGUGCGGGAUGACGGCCUUCGGGUUGGAAACCGCUUUCGCCUGUGACGACGCGUGAGUGCCGGGAAUGGGUAAAGAAGCACCGGCUAACUACGU
rnacentral:rRNA from 1 species